UGCCCCCGACCGUCUCGCCGACGCUGACGGGGAGGGGAUAAGGCCGCCUUCCCCUCGGUCCCCUCGUCUCCCCGCUCCACUUCCCCCUCUCCUCCUCGGUUCCUCCUCCCCCCCCCCCCCCCCCCCCCCCCCCCCCCCUCUCGCCAGAUCCGCUCCAUCCGCGGCGCCUCGACGCCGACGCCACCUCGCCCCGACGCCGUCCCGAGGGCUCGCCGUCGCCAUGGACGCAGCCACUAGCCUCCCCUCUCCGUUCCGAGCUGUCCGAUAGCUCCAUCGCGGACGCCUUCCUCCUCCUCGUAGACGAGAUCGGACCGGGACGGCCCCGCAGCACCGCCCCGACCCCUACCACCUCGGAACGCCACCGCGCCGUCUGCCUCCUCUACUACGACGGCGGGCUUCCUCCACUUCGACCGCCUGCUGCUCCUAAACCUCCCGCCGAGCCGCCGUGUGCUCCUAGAUGGUGGAUCCUUGGAGCCAGAUGCCACCGCCGACGAAUACUACUACAUGAAGGCCGCCGAAGACUAGGAGUAGUCAGGAGGUCCCAGGCAGGAGGCCUUGCCUCUUCGAUCGUGUUGCUUUUGUGCUAGCCUUCUUAAGGCAGAACUUUUUUAACUUAUGUCUGUACUCAGAUAUUGUUGCUUCCGCUGACUCUUGUGUAUCGAGCUUGUAUUCGAGCCCUCGAGGCCCCUGGCUUGUAAUGUAAAGCUUGUAUUAUUUUGAUUUGUGUCUAGAGUUGUGUUGUGAUA